UACCUGUACCGUAAACCGACACAGGUGAGUGGGUUGAAUAAACUAAGGGGAGCGAGAUAACUCUCUCUAAGGAACUCGGCAAAUUGGCUCUGUACCUUCGGAAGAAAGAGUGCCCCUUCAUGGGGCCGCAGUGAAGAGAUCCAGGCGACUGUUUACCAAAAACACAGGUCUCCGCAAAGUCGUAAGACGACGUAUGGGGGCUGACACCUGCCCAGUGCCAGAAGGUUAAAGAAGUUGGUCAAUCUUUGAUGAAGCUAACAACUGAAGCCCUGGUGAACGGCGGCAGUAACUAUAACUGUCCUAAGGUAGCGAAAUUCCUUGUCGGGUAAGUUCCGACCCGCACGAAAGGUGUAACGAUCUGGAUACUGUCUCAGAGAGAGACUCGGUGAAAUAAAACUAGCUGUGAAGAUGCGGCUUACCUGCACACGGACAGAAAGACCCUAUGAAGCUUUACUGUAACCUGGAAUUGCUUUCAAGCUUAUUUUGCGCAGCUUAGGUGGGAGGCUACGAACCUUUUCUUCCGGGAAGAGGGGAGCCAUCAGUGAGAUACCACUCUUGGUAAGCUAGAAAGCUCAGUCUUAACCGUUAUCCGGUAAGACGACAGUUUCAGGCGGGCAGUUUGACUGGGGCAGUCACCUCCCAAAAGGUAAUGGAGGUGCACAAAGGUUCCCUCAGGUUGGACGGAAAUCAACCAUAGAGUGUAAAAGCAUAAGGGAGCUUGACUGCGAGACUGACAUGUCAAGCAGAGACGAAAGUCGGUUUUAGUGAUCCGACGGUGCUGCGUGGAAAGGCCGUCGCUCAACGGAUAAAAGUUACUCUAGGGAUAACAGGCUAAUCUCCCCCAAGAGUUCACAUCGACGGGGAGGUUUGGCACCUCGAUGUCGGCUCAUCGCAUCCUGGAGCGGAAGUACGUUCCAAGGGUUGGGCUGUUCGCCCAUAGAAAGCGGCACGCGAGCUGGGUUCAGAACGUCGUGAGACAGUUUGGUCCAUAUCCUGUGUAGGCGUUUAGAGCAUUGAAAGGAUCUCCCCUUUGUACGAGAGGACCAGGUGGGGACAGACCGCUAGUGUACCAGUUAUUCCGCCAGGGGUAAACGCUGGGUAGCUAUGUCUGGAGUAAAUAACUGCUGAAAGCAUAUAAGUAGGAAGUUCACCUUAAGAUGAGUGCUCUUUUGUC
rnacentral:rRNA from 1 species